rnacentral:misc_RNA from 1 species
GGCUGUUUUGUCCACAAGCUUUGAGGGGGUUGUGAGGAAGCGUACGCUUCGCUGGGCUGGUGGAGUUCCACACAUAAAAGAGGCGAAAGGAGUUUUUUGUGAGAGAGAAGGGCACAGUCAAAUGGUUCAACGGGGCUAAAGGAUACGGAUUUAUCCAGCGCUCCACAGGGGAGGAUGUCUUCGUUCAUUUCUCCGCGAUCCAAGAGAACGGUUACCGUACGCUGAACGAGGGCGAAACCGUGGAAUUCGACCUGCUCAAGGGACCCAAAGGGUUCCAGGCGGCCAACGUCGUCCGCGCCGCAUAAGGCCUCGCUUCUUCCAAUUUUGCCAACCCUCGCAGUAACCACUGCGAGGGUUUCU